GCAACUCGACUACAUGAAGCUGGAAUCGCUAUAAUCGCGAAUCAGAAUGUCGCGGUGAAUACGUUCCCGGGUCUUGUACACACCGCCCGUCACACCAUGGGAGUCAGUAACGCCCGAAGUCAGUGACCUAACCUAGUAGGAGGGAGCUGCCGAAGGUGGGACCGAUAACUGGGGUGAAGUCGUAACAAGGUAAC
rnacentral:rRNA from 1 species